rnacentral:rRNA from 1 species
AACGAACGCUGGCGGCAGGCUUAACACAUGCAAGUCGAGCGAGCAUUUCGGUGCUAGCGGCGGACGGGGGAGUAACGCGUGGGAACUUGCCCUUUUCUGCGGUAUCCUUCAGUGAAAGAUGGCGUCAUACCGCAUACGCUCUUACGGGGAAAGAGCUAUCGCUGAAGGAUCGGCGCGCGUUGGAUUAGGUAGUUGGUGGGGUACUCGCGCACCAAGCCGACGUUCCAUAGCUGGUUGGUGAGGAUGAUCAGCAACGCUGGGACUGAGGCACGGCCCAGACUCCUACGCGGGGCAGCAGUGGGGAAUCUUAGACAAUGGGGGCAACCCUAGUCUAGCCGUGCCGCGUGAGUGAUGAAGGCCUUAGGGUUGUAAAGCUCUCUCAGCUGGGAAGAUAAUGACGGUACCAGCAGAAGAAGCCCCGGCUAACUCCGUG